rnacentral:rRNA from 1 species
CCCUUAGAUGUCCUGGGCCGCACGCGCGCUACACUGACAUGUUCAACAAGCCUCCUAGUUCGACAGGAUUUGGGAAAUCUUUGAACGCAUGUCGUGAUAGGGAUAGAUCAUUGCAAUUAUUGAUCUUGAACGAGGAAUUCCUAGUAAACGCGAGUCAUCAGCUCGCAUUGAUUACGUCCCUGCCCUUUGUACACACCGCCCGUCGCACCUACCGAUUGAAUGUUUCGGUGAAGAUUCCAGAUAGGACUUUUUUGAUUUAUUUCAAUUUUGUCUUAAAAGCUAUCUAAACCUCAACAUUUAGAGGAAGGUGAAGUCGUAACA